GCCGGGCGUGGUGGCGCGUGUCUGUAGUCCCAGCUACUCUGGAGGCUGAAGUGGGAGGAUCGCUUGAGCCCAGGAGGUCUGGGCUGCAGUGCGCUAUGCCAAUGGGGUGUCCGCACUAAGUUCGGCAUCAAAAUGGUGACCUCCCGGGAGCGGGGGACCACCAGGUUGCCUAAGGAGGUGUGAACCGGCCCAGGUCAAAAACGGAGCAGAUCAAAACUCCCGUGCUGACCAGUAGUGGGAUCACGCCUGUGAACAGACACUGCAUACCAGACUGGGCAACAUAGUGAGACCCCAUCUCU
rnacentral:SRP_RNA from 1 species